AAGCAAUUAAUUUGUGAUUUACACUAAUGAGCUUGGGUGUGUAAAAAGUGAGGAUUAUGGCUUCCGUUGAUGAUCACCUAAAAACUACUCAAACAGCGUCUUUAAACUUGUUAUAUUUUCUUUUGAAAAGAAAGAGUGAGAUAAAACAAAAUGAAUAGAAAUCAAAAUUUUCUUAAAUCUCUUGUAUCCGAGAAUAAUCAAUUUUGUCAGCUAUAACCGACCUGAACAACGAAACUAUCAAUUGGAA
rnacentral:lncRNA from 1 species